rnacentral:lncRNA from 1 species
CCCUUCGCCAUCCCAGCUUCCUCUCUCUCUUUGCUACUCCUUAGAUCCCGACACCAAGGCCGCCUCAGCUACUAAGAUCCACUGCACCCAUUAGCUAUUUUUUUGAGACUUUGAAUAUAAGUUUUGGAUCCCAAAAUCGGGUCUAAAUACCCAAGACCCAUUAGGAUCUGAGUCUGGUACUUCAAGACCAGAUUCGUUGAGUAUUUGGAUCUGGAUCUGAAAUAUUUUUUUACGAUAAUUUGACCUAUCUGGAUGUCAGAACCAUUGCUAAAUGG